GACCACAUCACAUUGAAACACCAGUUCCUGUAUGAUCACCGAAGUUAAGCAACAUUUGGUCAGUACCUAGAUAGGUGACUGUUUGGAAAUUCCAGGUGCUGUAA